UUUUCAUCAGACAAUCUGUGUGAGCACUGCAAAGUACGCUUCUUUAAGGUAAGGAGGUGAUCCAACCGCAGGUUCCCCUACGGUUACCUUGUUACGACUUCACCCCAGUCAUGAAUCACAAAGUGGUAAGCGCCCUCCCGAAGGUUAAGCUACCUACUUCUUUUGCAACCCACUCCCAUGGUGUGACGGGCGGUGUGUACAAGGCCCGGGAACGUAUUCACCGUGGCAUUCUGAUCCACGAUUACUAGCGAUUCCGACUUCAUGGAGUCGAGUUGCAGACUCCAAUCCGGACUACGACGCACUUUAUGAGGUCCGCUUGCUCUCGCGAGGUCGCUUCUCUUUGUAUGCGCCAUUGUAGCACGUGUGUAGCCCUGGUCGUAAGGGCCAUGAUGACUUGACGUCAUCCCCACCUUCCUCCAGUUUAUCACUGGCAGUCUCCUUUGAGUUCCCGGCCGGACCGCUGGCAACAAAGGAUAAGGGUUGCGCUCGUUGCGGGACUUAACCCAACAUUUCACAACACGAGCUGACGACAGCCAUGCAGCACCUGUCUCACGGUUCCCGAAGGCACAUUCUCAUCUCUGAAAACUUCCGUGGAUGUCAAGACCAGGUAAGGUUCUUCGCGUUGCAUCGAAUUAAACCACAUGCUCCACCGCUUGUGCGGGCCCCCGUCAAUUCAUUUGAGUUUUAACCUUGCGGCCGUACUCCCCAGGCGGUCUACUUAACGCGUUAGCUCCGGAAGCCACGCCUCAAGGGCACAACCUCCAAGUAGACAUCGUUUACGGCGUGGACUACCAGGGUAUCUAAUCCUGUUUGCUCCCCACGCUUUCGCACCUGAGCGUCAGUCUUUGUCCAGGGGGCCGCCUUCGCCACCGGUAUUCCUCCAGAUCUCUACGCAUUUCACCGCUACACCUGGAAUUCUACCCCCCUCUACAAGACUCAAGCCUGCCAGUUUCGAAUGCAGUUCCCAGGUUGAGCCCGGGGAUUUCACAUCCGACUUGACAGACCGCCUGCGUGCGCUUUACGCCCAGUAAUUCCGAUUAACGCUUGCACCCUCCGUAUUACCGCGGCUGCUGGCACGGAGUUAGCCGGUGCUUCUUCUGCGGGUAACGUCAAUUGCUGCGGUUAUUAACCACAACACCUUCCUCCCCGCUGAAAGUACUUUACAACCCGAAGGCCUUCUUCAUACACGCGGCAUGGCUGCAUCAGGCUUGCGCCCAUUGUGCAAUAUUCCCCACUGCUGCCUCCCGUAGGAGUCUGGACCGUGUCUCAGUUCCAGUGUGGCUGGUCAUCCUCUCAGACCAGCUAGGGAUCGUCGCCUUGGUGAGCCGUUACCUCACCAACAAGCUAAUCCCAUCUGGGCACAUCUGAUGGCAAGAGGCCCGAAGGUCCCCCUCUUUGGUCUUGCGACGUUAUGCGGUAUUAGCCACCGUUUCCAGUAGUUAUCCCCCUCCAUCAGGCAGUUUCCCAGACAUUACUCACCCGUCCGCCACUCGUCAGCAAAGCAGCAAGCUGCUUCCUGUUACCGUUCGACUUGCAUGUGUUAGGCCUGCCGCCAGCGUUCAAUCUGAGCCAUGAUCAAACUCUUCAAUUUAAAAGUUUGAUGCUCAAUGAAUUAAACUUCGUAAUGAAUUACGUGUUCACUCUUGAGAC
rnacentral:rRNA from 1 species